CCUACGGGAGGCUGCAGUGAGGAAUAUUGGUCAAUGGGCGCGAGCCUGAACCAGCCAAGUCGCGUGAGGGAGGACGGCCCUACGGGUUGUAAACCUCUUUUGCCGGGGAGCAACGGGCGCCACGUGUGGCGCCACUGAGAGUACCCGGAUAAAAAGCAUCGGCUAACUCCGUGCCAGCAGCCGGGGUAAUACGUAGGGGGCGAGCGUUAUCCGGCUUUACUGGGUGUAAAGGGGGCGUAGGCUGUGAGGUAAGUCAGCGGUGAAAUGCCCCCGGUCAACGGGGUGACGUGCCAUUGAUACUGGCGUGCUGGAGUGCGGAUGAGGUAGGCGGAAUGUGUGGUGUAGCGGUGAAAUGCAUAGAUAUCACAAAGAACACCGAUUGCGAAGGCAUCUCACGAAUCCGCGAUUGACGCUGAUGCACGAAAGCGUGGGUAUCAAACAGGAUUAGAUACCCCAGUAGUC
rnacentral:rRNA from 1 species